GGGACACGUGGUAUCCUGUCUGAAUAUGGGGGGACCAUCCUCCAAGGCUAAAUACUCCUGACUGACCGAUAGUGAACCAGUACCGUGAGGGAAAGGCGAAAAGAACCCCGGCGAGGGGAGUGAAAAAGAACCUGAAACCGUGUACGUACAAGCAGUGGGAGCACCUUCGGGUGUGACUGCGUACCUUUUGUAUAAUGGGUCAGCGACUUAUAUUCUGUAGCAAGGUUAACCGUAUAGGGGAGCCGCAGGGAAACCGAGUCUUAACUGGGCGUUAAGUUGCAGGGUAUAGACCCGAAACCCGGUGAUCUAGCCAUGGGCAGGUUGAAGGUUGGGUAACACUAACUGGAGGACCGAACCGACUAAUGUUGAAAAAUUAGCGGAUGACUUGUGGCUGGGGGUGAAAGGCCAAUCAAACCGGGAGAUAGCUGGUUCUCCCCGAAAGCUAUUUAGGUAGCGCCUCGUGAACUCAUCUUCGGGGGUAGAGCACUGUUUCGGC
rnacentral:rRNA from 1 species